CCUACGGGUGGCAGCAGUGAGGAAUAUUGGUCAAUGGACGAAAGUCUGAACCAGCCAUGCCGCGUGCAGGAAGACGGCCCUAUGCGUUGUAAACUGCUUUUGUAAGGGGGUAAAAGGCGGUACGUGUAUCUGUCUGCACGUAUAGUACGAAUAAGGAUCGGCUAACUCCGUGCCAGCAGCCGCGGUAAUCCGGAGGAUCCAAGCGUUAUCCGGGUUUAUUGGGUUUAACGGGUGCGUAGACGGGCGGUUAAGUUAGAGGUGAAAGCUCGCGGCUCAACUGCGGAAUUGCAAGUGAUACUGGGCGGCUAGAGAGCAGGUGCGGUAGGCGGAAUUCAUGGUGUAGCGGUGAAAUGCUUAGAGAUCAGGAAGAACACCGAUUGCGAAGGCAGCUUACUAAACUGCAACUGACGUUGAGGCACGAAAGCGUGGGGAGCAAACAGGAUUAGAUACCCUAGUAGUC
rnacentral:rRNA from 1 species